ACGGGUGAGUAACGCGUAGACAACCUGCCUCUAAAUUGGGGACAACACCGCGAAAGUGGUGCUAAUACCGAAUGUGGUAACAAGGUUGCAUAACCUUGUUAAGAAAGGUGGCCUCUAUUUAUAAGCUACCGUUUAGAGAUGGGUCUGCGUCUGAUUAGCUAGUUGGUGAGGUAACGGCUCACCAAGGCGACGAUCAGUAGCCGGUCUGAGAGGAUGAACGGCCACACUGGGACUGAGACACGGCCCAGACUCCUACGGGAGGCAGCAGUGGGGAAUCUUCCGCAAUGGACGAAAGUCUGACGGAGCAACGCCGCGUGAGUGAAGAAGGUCUUCGGAUUGUAAAGCUCUGUCGUUUGGGACGAACGUAUCCUGUGUAAAUAAUGCAGGGUAAUGACGGUACCAAAGGAGGAAGCCACGGCUAACUACGUGCCAGCAGCCGCGGUAAUACGUAGGUGGCAAGCGUUGUCCGGAAUUAUUGGGCGUAAAGGGCGUGUAGGUGGAUUCUUAAGUCGUGUGUCUAAGUGCGGGGCUCAACCCCGUAUGGGCGCAGGAAACUGGGAAUCUUGAGUGCAGGAGAGGAAAGUGGAAUU
rnacentral:rRNA from 1 species